ACGGCCAGGGGCCAUUGUGCUCACCGUAUACAUCUUUUAGUAGGCAGGAUCAUGCUUAGUUUAGAGGUGAAUAUGGUGAACACAAUCAGGCAUGAAGACUUUUUUUAGAUGUGUAUUGAUGUCAAGUAAUAAGACAGGGCAGUAUAUAUAAGUUUAUGAUCCAACCAAUAAUUGUCUAUGACAUCAACAAGAUCAAUAUCGUGUGAUUGCUAAGAGUCCCUGCAAUAAAAAAUUCAUCGAAAAAAGUCAUUAAUAAGCAAGAUAUUGCACGUCCUACUUUUUCAGUUUUGACCCCCUGGUGGCCAAAUCAAGAAUCAGAUGAGGCCAAAAUUCGGUGUCAGAGAUUAUCUGAUGUAGGGGGUUACAUGUACCAACUUUCAAGUUCAUAGCUUAAGCAGUUAAGAAACGUGCCAUAGUUACACUCUAAUGGCCAAUUUACGCCAUUUGACCUCUGUGACCUAGAAAAGGAGGUCAAAUCCAAAAAUCGUAGGACAUGUGGUGUAUCCUUGCUAGAAGUCCCUGCCAUAAAAAUUUUAUCGAAAACAAUUCACUCAAAUAAGCAAGAUAUUGCACUUCUUCCUUUUUCCAUUAUGGCCCCCUGGUGGCCGAAUAAAGAAUCAGAUCAGGCCAAAAUUCGGCAUCAAAGGUUAUCUGAUGUAGGGGGUUAUAUGCACCAAGUUUCAAGUUCAUAGCUUUACUGGUUAAGAAACGUGCCAUAGUUUACACUCCAACGGCCAAUUUAUGCCAUAUGACCUCUGUGACCUUGAAAAGUAGGUCAAAUUGAAAACCCGUAAGACAUGUGAUGUAUUCUUCCUAAGAGUACCUACCAUAAACAUUUUAUCGAAAACAAGUCACUUAUAAGCGAGAUAUCACACUUUUUAGAUAUCCACUUUUGGCCCCCUGGUGGCAAAGUUGAGAAUCAGAUCAAACUGAAAUUCAGCACCAGAGGCUAUGUGAUAUAGGGGGUUAUAUGUACCAAGUUUCAAGUUCAUAGCUUUAGUGGUUAAGAAACGUGCCAUAGUUUACACUCUAAUGGCCAAUUUCGCCAUAUGACCUCUGUGAACUUGAAAAGUAGGUCAAAUUAAAAACCCGUAUGAUAUAAGAUGUAUAUUUGCUAUGAGUACCUACAACACAAGUUUCAUCGAAAACAAGUCACUAAUAAGCGAGAUAUCACACUUUUUAGAUAUCGACAUUUGGCCCCCUGGUGGCCAAGUUGAGAAUCAGAUCGGACCGAAAUUCAGUGUCAGAGGUCACCUGACCUAGGGGGUGCUGUGUACAAAGUUUUUAAGUUCAUAGCCCUAGCGGUUAAGAAACGUGCCACUGUUUUUUAAAUAGGAUACGACGACGGACGACGGACGACGACGGACGACGGACGACGACGACGGACGACGGACACUGCGGUAUUACAUAAGACUCCCCUACAGUGAGCCAAAAAUCAAGAAAAUGUAAGAUACAAGUCAGAAAAGACAAAAGGGAAAAGAUAAAAAAUAAUAAAAUAAAAAAAUAUUUUUGGCCGUCCCUGACCGGGGUUUGAACUCACGACCUUUGGAUUGCCACAACACGAAAAACACAAAACAUGCAAUUUCGGCCAUAUCUGUGUCUGCGUUGUGACCUCUGUGACCUCGACAAGUAGGUCAAAUUAUAAACCCAUAUGAUAUAUGAUGUAUCCUUGCUAUGAGUACCUACCACAAAAGUUUUAUCGAAAACAAGUCAUCAAUAAGCGAGAUAUCACACUUUUUAGAUAUCCACAUUCGACCCCCUGGUGGCCAAAUUGAGAAUCAGAUCGGACCGAUAUUCAGCACAGGAGGUUAUCUGAUAUAGGGGGUUAUAUGUACCAAGUUUCAAGUUCAUAGCUGUGGCGGUUGAGAAACGUGCCAUAGUUACGCUGAAACAGCCAAUUUAUGCCAUUUGACCUCUGCAACCAUGAAAAGUAGGUCAAAUUAAAAAAUUGUACGAUAUAUGAUGUAUCCUUGCUAUGAGUACCCACCACGAAAGUUUUAUUGAAAACAAGUUAUUGAUAAGCGAAUUAUCACACUUUUUAGGUAUCCACAUUCGGCCCCCUGGUGGCCAAGUUGAGAAUCAGAUCAGACUGAAAUUCAGCACCAGAGGUUAUCUGGUAUAGGGGGUUAUAUGUAUUAAAUUUCAAGUUCAUAGCUGUGGAGGUUGAAAAACGUGCCAUAGUUACACUGAAACAGCCAAUUUAUGCCAUUUGACCUCUGUGACCUUGAAAAGUAGGUCAAAUUAAAAACCCGUAUGAUAUAUGAUGUAUCCUUGCUAUGAGUACCUACCACAAAAAUUUUAUUCCAAACAAGUCAUUAAUAAGCGAGAUAUCACACUUUUUAGAUAUCUACAUUCGGCCCCCUGGUGGCCAAAUUAAGAAUCAGAUCGGACCGAAAUUUAGUGUCACAGGUCAUCUGACCAAGGGAGUCCUGUGUACAAAGUUACAAGUUCAUAGGCUUAGCGGUUAAGAAACGUGCCACUGUUUUUGAAACAGGAUACGACGACGACGACGGACGACGACAGACGACGACGGACGACGGACACUGCGGUAUUGUAAAGACUCCCCUACGGUGAGCCAAAAACCCUGUGUCAAACCCAUGUUUAAAUUAGCCCCAUCGAGAUUGAUGGGGCUUAUAGACACGGGGUUUUCACACACAUGUCUAUUUAAGCACGGCAAUUCAAAGGUGGAAGCGCAAAAAACACGGGGAUUUACUAGGUGGAAGCGCAACUAUUAAUAACUGAACCACACAAAAACAAGUCCCCGAAUUGUGCAUAUAAUUCACCUGAAGACCACCAAUUUGACCCCCCUAGCUCAUGCCUAUAGUCCCCCUUUAAAGGGGUGCGCCGUUUGUAUUUAAUUGUGGGUCAGGAAUAUGCAAAUGCAGCUCUAUACACAGUGCUGCAGUGCAGUGCACUUAUCAUGCAUCUAACUUUGCUAAAACAUGGUGUUUAAAGUGUUUUUAGCUCAGCUGAAAAGCUGAGCUAUUCAUAUGAGUAAAUGGUAGAAUGAGUGUCCGUCUGUCUGUCUGUCUGUCUGUCUGUCUGUCUGUCUGUCUGUCUGUCUGUCUGUCUGUCCGUUAAACAGGCACGUUUCAAAACUAUGGCGGAUAGGCGAUAGAUUUUCCCUCUGAGGCGUUGAGACCCUUCAGGACUCCUGAAUAGACCAAAUGUGGGUCCGGCAGGAUGAGCGGUUUGGCAACUAGGUGGCACCAAGCGAAAUUUUCCAAAAACUUUUCCAGCAGCUGAUUUCUCAGUUGGGGAUCAUGAAUCAAAUCUAAUUUUAUAGAGCAAAGCUUUCUCUUUCAUUAUCAAUAGGCGUAGUUCAUGAAUUUCUCACCAGGUGGUGUUACUGGCGCAAUUUAGUGAGCACCCCCCAAGAAGAGCAUUUUAAAUUUCGCGCGAGUUAUCCCACGUCCAAUCACACAUGCAGCGAACGUCACGUCUCGAGUCUGCGCAGUUCAGACGUAAGGAGACCAUGCUAUGGAAUAGAUCGCGUUCUGUCAAUUCAGAGGACAGGAAUGAUCUGCAGCUGCAUUUGAACAUAUUUGGUGACUACAUCUCAAAGAUGACCAAGAGAGAGGAUCGAGCUAUGACUUUGCACAUCCCAUCGACUUCGGUGUUCACCAGUGCAAUCAUCAGAAGAGCCAGGCAAUUCUAGUAUUCAAGUAUUUCAUUCUGUAAUACUUACCUCAAAAUUUACUAAAUAAAGAAAACCGCAUGUGGCAGUUGGUUAAAAAAAUCAAGUCUAUCUGUUUAAAGUUUUUACUUGCUAUCAUUAUUAUCAACAUUUCAAUGGUGGCAUUCUGCUAAGGUUUGUUAAGAGUUUCACUUGACUUAAGCAGGGUGUACACUAGUAAAAUAUUAGCAACAUUUUACCAACAUUUUACCAACAUUUUACCAACAUUUUACCAACAUUUUACCAACAUUUUACCAACAUUUUACCAACAUUUUACCAACAUUUUUACAACAAUUUUGCAACAAGCCCUUCAAGGCCCUGUGUUCACUAGCAACAAAAUUGCAACAAAUUAGCAACAUUUUUACAACAUGUUGGUAAAUUGUUGCAAACUUUUUAGUGGGAACAAAGGGAAAAAGGUAUUUUGGAGGGAAAAUGGAUGAUUCCAAGGAGAGAAGAUGUGUUUUGAGUGCUUCUGCAGCAAUUUUAGCUGUCAUUGUUGAGAGACGGAAGAGGCGGCGAAAUAACCCAAGAGAAUAUGGACCAGGCCCUGGAUCAAAAUGAGGGUGGAUGAUGGGGCAUACCACUGCCUGUUAAGGCCGCGUAUCCAUAGGGUAUGCCCUUGUGUAGUGUGGCGUUAUGGCGUAACAGCCUUGUGACCUGGCACUAUGCCCUGAGUCUCCAUUGGAUAUUCCUUUUUGGUCAUGUAGGCCUUUGUAGUCCUCAUUUCGCAGCGGUCAAUCGCGUUUAUCCGCACGCUGUCAUUAUUUCAGAAGACAAUUUCUUAUGAAUAUUGAAAAUGAAAAUACAAGUAACUUGUAUUUUCACUUGCAACAUCAAAUUGACAUGUACAUGUAUAUAAAACCUGACUUUUAAGCAACAAAUUACAGGUUCGUGCUUGUUAUGAUAAUCAUCAGUUUCGGGAUCCCAGAGUAGUUCCCGUUGAUGAACCUCUUGAAUUAAUUUCGCCUCAGACAUUGCUUCCGUGUUGUUCACUCGCAAAAGAAUGGACAUGUUCAAUCCCAAUAUGGGCCUAUAUUCCCAAUCCACAGUGCAUAUAUGCCCGCAAUGUGACACGGCAUAACCUAUGGGAACGAUCAAUAACACCAACGAAGGUUCAUUGUCCGUGUGGCGCGCCAGGCGGUAAAAAGGGAAUGUUGUGCAGGGCACGGAACAGCCUAUGGAUACGCAGCCUAAAGGAGUUGCGGCUGACUGACAAGCCGUCACACAAAAACUUCUAGAAAAGGUUUCAUCACCCUACGAAGCAAGACACUCACUUGAGAGUUGCUAUACCUGCUUCUUGUUCAAGUCACAUGAACUCCGGUAGAUCACAUGACGCAAAUCCUAUUUCUGAUUGGCUGAAGAGUUUGCAACAUUUUUACAACAUGCAACAAAGAAUUGCAUUGCAUUUAAUUUGCAACAAUUUUACAACAUGUUGUAAGACGCGUUUUGCUCUGUACACACUGCGCAACAUUUUUGCAACAUUUGUUGCAACUGGAAAUGUAAAAAUGUUGCUAAUAUUUUACUAGUGUACACAGGCCUUUAGGCAAUAAUAGAGUUGGGUAGAGCAUUUUGUUAAUGUUACCCUUUUAGUUAGGGAAACUGGUGCCUUCUGCAUUAGGUGGACCCCACUUACUCAUCUGUCAGACCGGCCUCACACGUCGGCAGUAGGGUUUAAGGUCCAGUCUGCGAGAUUUACCCAUUUCUACCCAGCCAAAAGCGGGUGAUUGGGUUAGUCUCUUGUGUCUUGUUUCUUGUGUCCCGGUGCUGAAAGGAUCCCUCCACAAGGGCAGACUACAUCCGGUGGCACUGAAGUAUGGAAGAAAGACAGAAGACGACCAAUUUGCGAAAAGGAUCAUCAUCAUCAUCAUCAUGGUAACAGCUGAGGAUGAAUCAUGUUGCUGUGUGUAGAAUUGAUGGUCCAAUAUAGGUUAGGUUAUCUGUUUGCGCACACAUUGCAAGGGUGGAGCUUGCUUGAAGUAGAUUGCGCCAGUCUACCGUAAUUCACUGUUACACAUCCAGAAGCUAAUAUCCUUAGGCUUUGAGUCCUUAGUUUAGUAGAGUUUGACGAGUAAUGUAAUAUAUACGAACAACGCAGCAACAACUCAGCUGAGCGCCAGGCCCUUGGGCCUCUUGUUCAAUCUGUCUACACAAUCGCAGAGUAAAAUUUAUGUUCAGUACGUAUCUGAAAUUUUCAAAUUCAAUCACAAAUUACAAAUUCUUAACGAACGACAUAGGUCUUUAGUGGUUUCGAGAGUGUAGUGUAACUUAUUCAAUUACCAGAUUGCCUUUAUCGUGAGAUGCCAAAUGUUUUGUACUUAUCUUAUGAAAAUUGCCUCCCUUGCGAACAAAAUGACUAGGCUUUGGCUUUUGAUUAUUCUUCCUGGAGCCAGAAAUUGCUGUGUCAGUGACCAGAAGACUGGCACAUUUACUGUCGAGGCUCGGACAAACUGUCAGCUUGUUAAUUUCCGAGAAAUUGUCAUGUCUAAAGCGUCUGUUUUGUGUCAAAAAUGACGCACCUCCCAUUUUAUCAAUAGUCUCUCAUAAGUGUAGGUUUGUCCUAGUCAUUCAUAUUUGCAGGGGUCUGGCAGUUUGUAAAUUGUUUUGAGAGCAUGAUGGUACAAAAUAAACUUUUUACAUGAAUAGAAA